GUGUCAGCCGCCGCGGUAAUACGGAGGGUGCAAGCGUUGUUCGGAAUCAUUGGGCGUAAAGGGCGCGUAGGCGGGUCGUUAAGUCCGACGUGAAAUCCCUCGGCUCAACUGAGGAAGUGCAUCGGAUACUGGCGGUCUUGAGUCCUGGAGAGGGUAGCGGAAUUCCCAGUGUAGAGGUGAAAUUCGUAGAUAUUGGGAGGAACACCGGUGGCGAAGGCGGCUACCUGGACAGUGACUGACGCUGAGGCGCGAAAGCAUGGGUAGCAAACAGGAUUAGAUACCCUAGUAGUCC
rnacentral:rRNA from 1 species